GACGAACGCUGGCGGCGUGCCUAAUACAUGCAAGUCGAACGAAUGGAUUGAGGAGCUUGCUCUUCAUGAAGUUAGUGGCGGACGGGUGAGUAACACGUGGGUAACCUGCCCUUCAGCGGGGGAUAACAUCCGGAAACGGGUGCUAAUACCGCAUAGUUUCUUUUUCCGCCUGGAAGAAGAAGGAAAGAUGGCCUUUGCGCUAUCACUGAGGGAUGGACCCGNGGCGUAUUAGUUAGUUGGUGGGGUAAUGGCCUACCAAGACGAUGAUACGUAGCCGACCUGAGAGGGUGAUCGGCCACAUUGGGACUGAGACACGGCCCAAAACUCCUACGGGAGGCAGCAGUAGGGAAUCUUCCGCAAUGGACGAAAGUCUGACGGAGCAACGCCGCGUGAGUGAAGAAGGUUUUCGGAUCGUAAAACUCUAGUUGUCGGAGAAGAACAAGUAGGAGAGGGUACCCCUUGAAUAAGCCACGGCUAACUACGUG
rnacentral:rRNA from 1 species